rnacentral:rRNA from 1 species
AUUGAACGCUGGCGGCAGGCUUAACACAUGCAAGUCGAGCGAGCGGCGGACGGGUGAGUAAUGUCUGGGAAACUGCCUGAUGGAGGGGGAUAACUACUGGCAACGGUAGCUAAUACCGCAUACCAUCGGAUGUGCCCAGAUGGGGUUCGCUAGUAGGUGGGGUAAAGGCUCACCUAGGCGAAGAUCCCUAGCUGGUCUGAGCGGAUGACCAGCCACACUGUAACAGAGACACGGUACAGACUCCUACGGGAGGCAGCAGUGGGUAAUAUUGCACAAUGGGCGCAAGCCUGAUGCAGCCAUGCCGCGUGUAUGAAGGAGGCCUGCGGGUUGUAAAGUACUUUCAGCGGGGAGGCGUUACCCGCAGAAGAAGCACCGGCUAACUCCGUGCCAGCCGCCGCGGUAAUAC